rnacentral:ncRNA from 1 species
UGGUCCUAACCUUGAAGUCAAUUUUUGCUUAGUAUACACAUGCAAGUCUCCGCCCCCCUGUGAAAACGCCCUUAAAUCCCCAUUAGGGAUAAGGAGCUGGUAUCAGGCUCAAUUAUUAGCCCAAAACACCUAGCUAUGCCACACCCACAAGGGAAAUCAGCAGUGAUCAACAUUGGAUAUUAGUGACAACUUGAUCCAGUUAAAGUAAAAAGAGCCGGCAAAUCUGGUGCCAGCCGCCGCGGUUACACCACGUGGCUCAAAUUGACUUUUUUCGGCGUAAAGCGUGAUUUAAGAGAUCUAAAAAUAUAGUUAAAUUAAAAUUAAGCUGUGACACGCUUAUUUACAAGAAACACAAUAACGAAAGUUACUAUAACUAAAUUAACUUGAAUUCACAUCAGUUAGGACACAAACUGGGAUUAGAUACCCCACUAUGCCUAACCGUAAACUUUAACUUACACUAAAAUCGCCUGGGAACUACGAGCAAAGCUUAAAACCCAAAGGACUUGACGGUACCCCAAAUCCACCUAGAGGAGCCUGUCCUAUAAUCGAUAAUCCCCGCUAAACCUCACCAUUUUUAGCCUUUUCAGCCUGUAUACCUCCGUCGUCAGCUUACCACGUGAGCGAAUUAUAGUGAGCUUAAUGUUAUUAUACCAAUACGUCAGGUCAAGGUGCAGCAAAUAAAAUGGAAAGAGAUGGGCUACACUCUCUAAUAUAGAAUAUACGAAAAACUAAUUAUGAAACCUAGUUAGAAGGCGGAUUUAGAAGUAAAAAGAAAAGACGAAUAUUCUUUUUAACAAGGCACUGGGGUGUGUACACACCGCCCGUCACCCUCCUCAAAACAUAAAAAUAGUUGUUAACAAAACUUAUGUACUGCAGAAGAGGCAAGUCGUAACAUGGUAAGUAUACCGGAAGGUGUGCUUGGAAA